rnacentral:misc_RNA from 1 species
GAUGAAGAACGUAGCGAAAUGCGAUAAGUAAUGCGAAUUGCAGAAUUUCCGUGAGUCAUCGAAUCUUUGAACGCACAUUGCGCCCCUUGGUAUUCCGGGGGGCAUGCCUGUUCGAGCGUCAUUAUAACCCCUCAAGCUCAGCUUGGUGUUGGGGCCUGCCGACUGGCAGCCCUUAAAAUCAGUGGCGGCGCCAUCUGGCUCUAAGCGUAGUAAUUUCUCUCGCUAUAGAGUCCCGGUGGACGCUUGCCAGCAACCCCCAACUUUCUAUGGUUGACCUCGGAUCAGGUAGGGAUACCCGCUGAACUUAAGCAUAUCAAUAAGCGGAGGA